UACGUAGGGGGGCUAGCGUUGUCCGGAAUCAUUGGGCGUAAAGAGCGUGUAGGCGGCCCGGUAAGUCCGCUGUAAAAGUCAAAGGCUCAACCUUUGAAUGUCAGUGGAUACUGCCGGGCUAGAGUCCGGAAGAGGCGAGUGGAACUCCUGGUGUAGCGGUGGAAUGCGCAGAUAUCAGGAAGAACACCAACAGCGAAGGCAGCUCGCUGGGACGGUACUGACGCUGAGACGCGAAAGCGUGGGGAGCGAACAGG
rnacentral:rRNA from 1 species